UGGAUCAUCAUCUACCAAUUGCCCUUGUGGAGAGAUUGUCGCGUGAUACAAACACAUUUCAUCUUCCCGCAAGCAAGAUGCCCGUCACCCUACAGGAUGUUGAUGUAUUGCUUGGCCUCUGCAUUAGUGGGCCUCCUCUGAUUGAGCAAAAUAUGGUUGUGGCGGGUAACUGAUGAGCUUUAUGGUUUGAUUGUUCUGACGAACUUCUUGGUGCACAACCGACGGAAGAUUUUGUCUACCAUGACCCCGCUAAUGAGGCGAUCACAUCGACAUUUCACAUUGGUCAGGCGAAGUGACAUACUUGCAUGCCUCUCAGAUGACUGAGGAUAUUUUCUACCACCCGAUACCUUUGGUUGUGAGAUUCAUCUGCAGUAUUUGCCAACAGUGGAAAAUUUAGAAGAUUUUGGAAAGUACUCAUUGGGUAGUGCAAUAUUGUUCCACGUCUAUCGUUAAGUGAAACUUGUAAUGAAACUCAACCGGGUUAAUAGGGUUCGAUGUCUGUAUCUACUACAGGUUUGGAGUUUGGAACAUUUACAAGUAGGCCAACUGACACUUCAUGUGUCAUAUCCUCAGACCUUGGACGGAAAAAGUUUGGGAUUCAGAUACGUAUUGGUUGAUUUUUAAUUAAAAGCAAUGUUUGUUGAGCUAACUACAAAUGGAAUGACAUUUGUAUCUUCUUACAAAUGGAAUGAGCUACAUAUUGGAAUGAGCUACAUUACAAAUGGAAUGAGCUACAUAUUGGAGAAAUUCCUACAUUGAUUGUACGAGUUUAUCCAGAUGAAAUCGAUGGGCUACUUGAAAUUCAGGUAACAUGGGGACCCUACACGGUAGAGAUAUUAACACAUGUGGAUGAUAUAUGCACAACAGGGCA